ACACUACAUGGGGCUGACCCUUGCUCUUUUCCUACACCCAACAGUAAGAUGAAGGGGAAGAGGUGCAUAAUUUUCAGAUGACUUAGUUGGACCUUUAUUUCCCCACAACCGAUUCUCCUUGAUGUUUCUUCCUUCCCAGAGAAAUGAGAGAUGUGGUUUCUAACCAGGAUAUCAAUUGGGAAAGAUUCUUUCAAUUCCUUGGCAGGCCAUUGGCAAACAUUAGGUAGCUUUCAUCUGCCUUUACCCGGAAGCAGUUCUGAGAAAAUCUUCUUUUAUUCUCUAAGGAAAGUGGAACCUUUUGGGGAAGGAGCAUGUUCAAAAGUUGGAUCAAAAUUCAGUAUCUGUCAUCAAGGAAAUAGCUGUGUUGGACACGCACAUUUUGACCCUAUGGACACAUGGACCAUCAUGGUGAUUAUUAGUAAAUAUAAUGCAUAUCCAGUAAAACUCUACAUGAUAAAAUGUAUUCUUGACUGAAAACUGAUGGAAGAAAAAUGUAACUUUGAAAAAAUUUGUUAUAUUAUCUGACUCAGGUCAGUUGACCAAGGACAAAUAACGAUCACCACAGAAAUCUUACAAAGGCAGAAUCUAUAGCCAUUUAAUUAUGAUUUGGACAAGAAAUCUUGUCAUUUAUUUUUUUUAAAUUGAGCUCCAGUAACACACUCGCAGGAAAUGAGUAAGAAACAUGGGUAUCCUGGCCAGAAGUCCUAAGGCUGGGCUGGGAGGCCUGCCUCCCCUUCUCGCCCCCCCUCUCAGGUGGAGCCAGUGCGCAGGCUCCAGCAGAGGCAGGUGUGAGAGCUCAAGGGCAGGGAUUCGCCGCUGAAGGCCCCUCGCCCAGAGGAAAGGGAAGUAGGAGACACUGAGGGGGUGGCCAGCGAUGCGGGUGUCUCCACGAGGGAGCCGCGCAAAGACGGAAUGUUUCCAAAAUGAGACCAGGAAAAAGCAGAUAUUCAUCUCUCCAUCUCAAACAAGUGCCUUUGUACAAGCCUUCAAGAGGAACCAAUUUCCUAGCAUUGCAACCAGAGGAGAAUCGACUUGUCAGACAGGAAUUGCAGAAUCUCUAAUCAAGUUGUCAGUGUGGUUUCCAAACCAAAGAGCUCUGCAGCCAGAGCAAAGCAGAGGGGGCCCAUGAUGAAGAAGCUCAAGCUCUCUCAACAUGCCACCAGGCUCACCAGGGCCUCAGACUUAGAAGGAGGAAGGAAGCCAUCUCCCGAGCCACUUUCAGACCUCUUUCCUGAGAUGUUGGGCCAUCGUGAUAAAAAGGGAACGUGCAUGGUGUUUGGGAGUAACGCCUAGGCAUGAAGACCAUCCUUCACUUGGAAGCCCAAAGAGCUGUCCUGUUGGCUGUACUUUGUUGCCUCAACUUACCUUGUCCUGAGUGCACCUCCUCUCACAAGUACACCAGAAUCACAACUCUCUGCAGAACAACCAUAGAUGAAAAAGAGUGGAACCAACCAGAAAAGAUCUUCGACAACUAAAGACAUAAAGAAGGAGCCACAAUAAGAUGGCAAAGAACAUCAAGUAUAACAGAGUACAUCACUUCAGGAUUUCAAAAGAGAAAGAUUAGCGUAUACACAACUAGUUAGUGUUACCUUGCUGUCUGGAAAGGAACCUCAUCCUCCAAGGAGUGCCAGCCUGGGCAUCAUCAGAAGGGAAACAUUUCUCCUUAUCACAAAGGCUGACACCCAAGAGGACUGCAAAAAAGAAAAUAAGGAGACUUGUUUGGAAGCCAUGUCAAAGGACACUCUGCAAGCACUACUUCAAAAGAACCUCUACCCUGGUAUAACUACCAGGGAAUGACUGGUCUGAGAACUUGCAUUAUGGAAAACAGAAUUCAGGUAACCUUAAUGUUUUCAUUCAUUUUCUCUCAGGGUCCAUGUCUAGAUGCAAUGUGAGCCAAGCCACCUAGAAUCAAUCUUUUGUGUCUGGAAAUGUGCUUAUAAGCAUUAACCUGAUAGUGUCAUGCAGUGUAAAGAAUGAAAUGAAAGCAGCCAACCAGUGCAAAUGACUGGUUGGGUAAAUAUGAGGGUUUUCUCAUGCAUUGGGUGCCCAAUACGCCUUCUGCUACAGGGACUUCAAUUUUAAGGGCAUGCUAAGGAGAGGACCUAUUUCUUUCUCUUGGUGAGUCUCUUCUGGGUGCUCAACACAGCUGUUAUCAAAUCCUGGCAAUGAUUAUUCACCCCUUGGGAAAACGUGGCCAGAGUGAGCUGAGUGACUGUAAGCCCAUUGCAGUGGAUGGUCAGAAAGAGAAGUCCAUGAAACUACACAUGAGGCUGGUUGUGCUGUGGAGUCUAUUCCUUUAUUUCUUGUCUACAGGGUACUACCUGAGCUGAAGAUUUCCUCUCUGGUCAGGUUUGAGAGGACUAAUUGAAGGAAGAGAGUUAGCAUUUGAGCACAAUGCCUGGGACAGUACAACACAUUGCCAAGACUGGCUGUCUUUUCCCAUUGAAAUUUUUUCUUGGUUCACCAAAUUAUCCAAACACAACAUUCAUAAACGACUGAGAAAAUGAACAUACACUACACUUUGGACUCCAGUAAUGAGGGAACAAGCACAUUGUAUGACUGUUGAAAAUGAUGACACAUGUUUCAAAGGAACCAGGUACCUAAGAGUCUCCUAACCUAGAGGUGACUGUGACGUGUUAUCCACUAAGAAGAACUGACUGUAAGAGUAUUUCCCAAGCAGCAUGGGAUUUUAGUUAUUGUCAUUUGGGUUUAGAGGAUUUUUGACAGGGGCACUUGGUAAUGACUGUGUGUUAAUUAAACAGAAUGGUCUGUAGAGACAUUAGAGGGGCAGAGAAGCAUUACUUGGGUAUCGAUGAAGCAAAAGAUGAGACAAUAAAGCAAGAGAGCAAACGAGAGAAAGAGGAAAGACAGAAACAGAGAGACUGAGACUGAGAGGGAGGAAAACAAAGACAAGUGGAAUAGAGAAUCAAAGACAGAAAUAAAAAGGCUGACAGAGAUAGUGGCUGGUUUGAUGGGAAGAGAGAAAUCAGGGAGAGGGUGUGUCAAGCAAGCUCAUUCUGACCGUAGGAAAGCAAGUACUGUCUCCUCCAUCACGGGUCUUCACCUUGAUACCCUGAAGAUGAACAAUGAUUAUUUUAAUUGAUGCAGAUCUGUUCUUAUUUGAAGAUGAAAGCACUAUUCUUCAGAUAGUUCAAUACCUUUGAGUCACUAAUAUUUCCACUGGAGAGAGGUGGUCCAUACUGGGUUUUCAUUAGUUUGCUUAAUUGUUUGUUGUGUUGUUAAUCUUGCAAUAGAUCUUGGAAAUAAGUUGCUAAGCUGUGGCUUAGAUGAGAGCUAGGGCGUGAGCAUGCUCUAACUUUGGCUGAGAAACUGGCAAUAAUGCAUAUCCUGGUUCUUGACCUUGAACGACACCUGUGGCUUGAGCUAGAUCUGGCUCCAGAAGCCAGACAGCAGGACUCUUGUCUGCUCCAUACAUUAAAUGUUGGUUCUUCCUAGGAAAGCACCUCCACCUAGUGGGCCUUCCUAUGCACUGGAAGAAUGAAGGCACCCAACCAGCCCCAUCACACGUAUCUCAGGGGAGCAAGGGGCCCCCUGCUUGCCCCCAGGGAUCCCUCCUCACACUCACCCAGGACAGGGAACUCCUCACACAUCACCUUUCAAAUGCAGAUACAGUCAGAGCCCAAGGCCAGAGGCAGUCAGGCAGCGGCUUCCUCCCUGGGAAGAGGAACAGCAUCAACCAGCACAGCCGCAGCCCUUCCAGCAGCCCUUUCCCCAGGGCCAGGUCCUCAGAAAACACUUUCCCUGAAGGACCCACUUGCGCCCUACAGUCAACCUAGGGAGCUGGUUCUCCCUUGCCCCUCGUGUGCAGAGGGGCAAACUGUGGCUCAGAGAGGAGCUGCAACGUUCCGGAGUCUCACAGAUAGUAGGUGGUGGGUCACCAAUGUCCCUGCUGGGGGUGGGGGUGGGGCAGAGUGCUCACCUUUGGAACAGAAGGUCCAGCACCUGCUGGGUGGUGGCCAAAGCCCUGCAGGUGCCCAUGCAGGUGGCGAGGUAGGCAGGGCCGCUGCCCAGGAAGGCAGGCACCAGCUUUCCCACCAGCUCCUGCCUCCCUGGACCCUCCACACCGGGCAGGUCUCAUGCCUGUCCACUGUUGUCACCAUUGCCCCCUGGGGAGGAACAGAGCAGAGGCCUGCAGUCAGAGGCAGCCCCAGGGACCAGCAGGAGGGCUGGGGCUGCAGCUCAGCUCAAAUCCCCAAGCCUCAGGGACUUGUGGGCAAGGUGGGACAGGAGAGCCCUCAACAGGAGAAAGGCUCUGGCAUCACCUGUAGAACUGGCAGUGGGCUGUGGUGAAACGGACUGUGAUCUCAGACCAAUUGGUGGCCCAGCUUGGACAGCACCUCCCUCCCUUCACUGCAUCAUCCCUGUGAGUGCUCCCCGAAAAUCCCAUUCUGGGAUGAGCUCACAGAGGCUCUGGGGGAGAGAGAGAAAUCAGGGUAUUAGGACUUGAAGGAUGUUCCGGAAGCACAGUUGAAAUGGCAAGAGAGGGAGUCAAGUGUAAGUCCCACAUCAGUGAAGGGCUGAAUUGCUGUGGUAAUCAGUCUUCCUUCUUGAAUGAUAUAUAGCCCACUGAGGCCACAGCCCCUGACAUGGUGGGGACACAGGACAUGUUCCUUGAGAUAACAAGUUACAGAGAAAUAGACAUAAACCCUGAGCUUCGUGUCACUUUGGCUAAAAACACCCCUACUAAUCAUAAUGAUGUGUAAGACUGGAAGGUAUGGAAGAAUUGUCAGGCCCAAAUAGACACCUGAAGAGGCAGAUGAAACAGGAAAAUCUAUAGAUAAAUGCGGAAACAUUCUUGAGUUAAAAUGAAGUGAAAUCAUAUUAAAGUCCCUUUCCUGAGAUUUCUGCAAAUAUGGGGACAGUGACUUUGCAUUUGGCCAAGGCAGGGGCUAUGCAGUGAGGGCAGUAGGAGAGGAGAUGGGGGAGUAAGACUCCAGGAGGGAGCCCAGGGGAGCAGCAGAGUGGCUCCUAGAACCUGUUUUUCAUUUGGCUAUAUCAUGGUCCUGGGUGUGGACCUCCUCACCUGGGCUCACAUUGAGCCAGUCCCAGGCUCGGUCCAUCUUGUGGGGCAUUUAUCCCUCCUGCAGGGAAGUGGAGCAGAAACCCACUGAGGGCACUGCUGUCCCAGGGCUUUCACAGGCUGUGGUGGCUCCCUCAGAGUCAGCCACCCUGCACAGUGACUGCCAGGUGAAUGGGGCAAGGGAGAAAACAGGGCUGGAAUCUGCAGACUGCGACCCAGAGAGACUGCACUGCGGGCACCACUGUGACAUUGACCAGUGAUGAAGCCAAAGGCCUUGUGCCCACCCUGCCCCCACCACAGCCCUCCCUCAGGUCUCCUUUUCCCCACAUGCAGAUGAGGAGAUGCAGGCCUGACCAGGGAGGGCCCCCAGAGAUGGUGGCCAGGCCUGGAUUGGCCUGUGCUAGUCUGUUUUGUGUGCCCUUAGACACGUCCUAGUAAAUUUCUGGUACCGAACCCAAGAGCACUCUGCUCACUGCACGACAGGCCAGUAAAUCCAGAGGUGAGUUGUUGGGACAAGGAAGAAAGACUUUGAUUGGAAAGCUAGCCGACUUUGAAGAUACAGACUAAUGUCCUGAAAAACCAUUUUCACUCAGUCUAAAUUCAGGCUCCUCUCAUACAGAGGAAAGGGAGGGGGUGGAGCGAGCUCACUAACAGUAGUUUGCUUGGGGGAAAGGCCCACUGCAAUGCUGACCAAAGGCUGAGCAGGAGCGUGUAAAAGCAGUGAUAUUUUAAUGGGGGAGGGGGAGUAAUGAGUUGGCUUUUCCUCUUAAGCAUUCUCCAGACUUCUUUCUUCCCUUUCCAUCUCAGCCACUCCUCCUAUUAUGGAACCUUACCUAAAUCCACCUCAUAUAAAUAAAGGGAGAAUUAAUGAAUGAAAAUGGGCUCUUUAACUCAACUGAGUAGGGGGGGGUAUCUGACAGAUUUAAAGUAUUGGUGUUGGGUAGGGAGGGGUGAAUGCCCUGGGAGACUGGGAGACAGAAGUAUCCCACUCUGUAGGUCACUUCAUUGUGCUUUGAGGAAGAGAAGAAACAAAAACAUGCUGGCAGUGCUCAAGGCCAGUGCAACCCCCUAGAUGGGAGAGGGAGGCGAGAGGAAAGAUGGAGAGUUGGUGUUAGAGGAGACAGCCAUCAGAGGGCACCAGAGCACUGAGAGAGCCCACCAGCAGCUCUCUAGCCCCACCUCCAGGCUCAGAGAUGGGGUGGGAGAUGAUGGCAUUGGCAGAACCCCAAGGACGUCCCCAGAGAGCAGGGGUUGGUUACAGGGUACCUCUGACUCUCCACCCCAAAUUGCUUCACUUCACAAAGGGACAUAGUUGUGCCUUCAGUAUCUAAUGUGGCAAUUUCAUCACUGUUUUGUGGCCAUUGGCCAGAUAAUUUGUCAGUCUGUCUGCAGUUGGUAGCCCCUUGUUUCUCCAGAAGACGGACUCUGGACAAAGAAAUACCCAGCUUGACGUGGGGUUUCAUUUAUCAAGCUGCAGGUUUCUGUCAGGGUUGGCAUCUGGAAAACAGAGAGGAUGGUCCUGAAUGGAGCAUGUAAAGGUAGUGAUAUUUUAAUGGGUGGGUAUUCUCAUUACUUUGCUUUUUCUCUUGAAAGUUCUCCACAAACUUCCUUCCUCCUUUUCCAUCUGAACCUCUUCAUUCUGAUAUGGGGACCUGAUCUAAAGCCAUGUCAUGUAAAAUAAGGAAGGGUGACUGGAAUAAAGGGGGCUUUUGUUACUCAGUGGGGGAGCUGGCUGGCCAAUUUAAAGUAGUGGUGUUUGGUAAGGAGGGAUGAGUGCCCUGGGAGGCUUUGGGAGAGAAAUACCCCCUCUGUAGGGCACCUCAUUUUGCUUAGAGGGAGAGGAGGAGCGAAAACAAGUGCUCAAGGCCUUGGCAGGUGCUCAAGGCCGGUGUAGCCCCCAGGCAGAAGAGAGAGCAAGAAGAGGGGCUGAGAUUUGGUGUGGUAGGUGGGGUGACUACCCUGUGAUAGACUAUAAGGGAGAAAUACCCACUUCUAUAGGGCACUUCAUUGCACUGAGAGGGAGAAAAAGAACCAAAUUGAGCUGGCAGGUGCUCAAGGCCAGUGCAGUCCAAGAGCAGAGGAGGGAGGCAAGAGAAAGGGCUGAGAGUUGGUGUUAUAGAAGCUGGCCACUAGAGGGUGCUAGAGGACCAGCUGAGGCGCAUCUGCAGCUCCCUGGCACCAACUUCAAGCUCAGAGAUGGGGUUGGAGGUGGGAGUGUUGGAACCACAAAGACCUGCCCAGAGAGGAGGGAUUCGUUACAGGGUGCCUCUGACUCUCCAGCCCAAAUUGCUUCCCUUCACAGAGGAGACAUAGCUGUGUCUUAAACAUCUGUUGGGGACUUACAGUCUGAUCAGGUGCCCUGUGGCCAAAUAUUUUGUCAGCUGUCUAGCCUGCCCUUUGAUUCUCCAAAAGCAGGACUCCGGACCCAGAAAUAUGUGCUUUGGAUCUUGUGCUUCCAGUUUUCUAGAAAGCCCUGCUUGCUGUUUGGCAUCUGGAAAGCUGAGAUGGUGGUCAUGAAUGGACUGUGUAAAAGCGAUGUCACUUGGUGGGCGGGCUCAUCCCUGUGCCCUUUCUCUCAAGAGUUCUCUCCAAAGAUCCUUCUUUUUCCAUCUCAGCCUUUUCCUUCUGUCUUUGAGCUCCACUAGUAGAAAUUGACCUAAAGCCAAAUCACAUGAAUUAAGAGGGGAUGAUUUAUUUAAACCCAGUCAGGUGACUUAAAAUGGGUUUGCCUGGAGUUCUCAUUGUGGUUUGGUGGUAAGGAACCCAAAGAGUAACCAUGAGGAUGUGGGUUCCAUCCCUGGCCUCACUCAGUGGUUUAAGGAUCCGACGUUGCUGUGAGCUAUGGUGUAGGU